rnacentral:tRNA from 1 species
AGUCUUAUAUUCAAAUAAUGAUUUUAGAUUGCAAAUCUAAAGGUAAAGGUAUUCUUUUAAGGCUU